rnacentral:rRNA from 1 species
GGCCUACCAUGGUAGUAACGGGUAACGGGGUGUUAGGGCACGACACCGGAGAGGGAGCCUGAGAAACGGCUACCACAUCCAAGGAUGGCAGCAGGCGCGCAAAUUACCCAAUCCUGACACAGGGAGGUAGUGACAAAAAAUAACAAUACCGGGCAUUUAUAUGUCUGGUAAUUGGAAUGAGUACAAUUUAAAUCCCUUAACGAGGAUCAAUUGGAGGGCAAGUCUGGUGCCAGCAGCCGCGGUAAUUCCAGCUCCAAUAGCGUAUAUUAAAGUUGUUGCAGUUAAAAAGCUCGUAGUUGAACUUCAGACCUGGUUGGGCGGUCCGCUUAACGGCGAGUACUGUCUGACUGGGCCUUACUUCUUGGUGAGCCGGCGUGCCCUUUAUUGGUGUGCGUCGGGGAAUCAGGACUUUUACUUUGAAAAAAUUAGAGUGUUCAAAGCAUGCCUUUGCUCGAAUACGUUAGCAUGGAAUAAUAAAAUAGGGCGUGCGUUUCUAUUUUGUUGGUUUCUAGAGACGCCGCAAUGAUUAACAGGAACAGUCGGGGGCAUCAGUAUUCAGUUGUCAGAGGUGAAAUUCUUGGAUUUAUUGAAGACUAACUACUGCGAAAGCAUUUGCCAAGGAUGUUUUCAUUAAUCAAGAACGAAAGUUAGGGGAUCGAAGACGAUCAGAUACCGUCGUAGUCUUAACCAUAAACUAUGCCGACUAGGGAUCGGAUGAUGUUAAUUUUUUAAUGACUCAUUCGGCGCCUUACG